rnacentral:rRNA from 1 species
AGCAGUCGCGCGGUAAUACGAAGGUUCCAAGCGUUGUUCGGAAUCACUGGGCGUAAAGGGAGCGUAGGCGGCGUGGUAAGUCAGAUGUGAAAUCCCGGGGCUCAACCCCGGAACUGCAUCCGAUACUGCCAUGCUUGAGGGUUGGAGAGGUAGCUGGAAUUCUCGGUGUAGCAGUGAAAUGCGUGGAUAUCGAGAGGAACACUCGUGGCGAAGGCGAGCUACUGGACAAUAUCUGACGCUGAGGCUCGAAGGCUAGGGUAGCGAAAGGGAUUAGAGACCCCUGUAGUCCCUGUCUCUUAUACA